CUAAGUAUCAUUAAGUGAAUACAUAGCUUAAUGAGGGGAACUCAGGGAACUGAAACAUCUAAGUACCUGAAGGAAGAGAAAGAAAUUCGAUUCCGUAAGUAGCGGCGAGCGAACGCGGAUUAGCCCAAACCAAUAAAGUUUUCUUUAUUGGGGUUGCGGACAUAUCAUAACGAAGAGGUAUCGUAAUUGAAGAGGUUUGGAAAGACCCACCACAGAAGGUAAUAGUCCUGUAUGUUAAACGAGAAGACUUUA
rnacentral:rRNA from 1 species